CUAAUGUUCUUGAAAUAUGUGUUUUCAAUCUUAAUAAUUUAAGAUGAGCUACAAUGUAGAAGAUGCAUAUCUCAAAUUAUAAUCCUGAAAGCUUCCUUGAAAAUUUUUAUGAAAUUCAGAAUCUGAUUUUGUAUAAAAGCUUAAACUUAAUUUAAAAAAUGCUUCUAUCAUUGCAUUUUUGUAACUUUCAUUAUAUGCUUCAAUGAUUGCAUCAUUUUGGGGAAUAACUCAAUAUGAUUCCUGGAUGAAAACUACGGUCUAAGAAAAAUAGAAUUAAUUUUGAUGCCUUGAUUGUUUGCUCCGAUACGCAUCUGAAACAUAUCAUUUUCUAUCUUAUAAGUUUAUUAAAAUUGGUCUA
rnacentral:lncRNA from 1 species